AUGGAGUCUGGGUCAUCACAACAUCACAUCUGGCACCUGAGAAGGGAAACAGAAACACAGAGACCACACUCAUCCUCACGUUCUAAGAGGACGCUCCUGCAGAGACGGGCAGCCCUGGACACACUGCCCGAGGCCGUUCCUGCUGCUGGCCUUCCUUACCUGGGAGCCAGAGCAGCAGGAGCCCCAGCAGCUGAGUGGGGGCCCUCAUGUCCAUGCUGGGUCCUGCCUGGCACUGCCUCCUGCAUGGGGCGGGAGCAGCCUGCUCCUAAAUGCCCAGAGAGGUGGGUGUGCUCUGGGGACAUGCAAAUCAGCAGGGGCGGGGCAGGGUGUGCCCAACUGAAGGGCCCAGGGCAGCUCAGAACUCAGUCCAGGGGCUGUGUCUCAGCUGCCCCAGCUCAGACCAGGGCUGCACACGUUUACCUGCAGUGUGCAUGCUUCUACCAGGAGACGUCACCUCCCAAAUUCCCUGAGGGACAGUUGCCAAAAUUAUUAAAUGAAGAACUGCUCUAUCAGGGAUUGAAAGCUGACGCGAUUCCACCUAUGACCCCCAGGGGGCGCAAGUGCACUUCAGGUCUGGUAGUGACAGUGGGAUUGGGGGAAUUGAGAAACACAGCCUUGUCUUUAGGAUGAGGAACAGUGGUUUUCUGCUUACUCCGUGUUGAAUUUUGUAUAUACGGAGGGCUGAGCUAGUGUUUAUAAAGUACAUUGAAAGUAAGUCUUUCAAAAGUUCGAAUAGGUGCCAGCGCUGUGGCGCAGCGGGUUAAUGUCCUGGCCCUAUGCGCCGGUUUGAAUCUCGGCUGCUCCACCUCUGUUCCAGCUCCCUGCUAUGGCCUGCGAAAGCAGUAGAAGAUGGCCCAAAUCCUUGGGCCCUGCACCCAGGUAGGAGAAAUGGAAGCUCCUGGCUCCUGGCUCGGAUUGGCACAGCUCCAGCCAUUGUGGCCAACUGGGGUGUGAAUCAUCGGAUGGAAGACCUCUCUCUCUCUGCCUCUCUUCUCUCUGUGUAACUCUGAAUUUCAAAUAAAUAAAUAUAUCCUUUUAAAAUAAAAUUAAAA
rnacentral:lncRNA from 1 species